CCACAGGAGCUUCUUAGCUCCAUCUUUUUCUCUCAUUGACAUUGUUU
rfam:Fukomys damarensis contig95939, whole genome shotgun sequence.